GCCUGGGUGGCUCAGUUGUUUGAGCGUCUGACUUGGGCUCAGGCCAUGAUCUCACCGUCCAUGGGUUCAAGCCCCACAUUGGGCC
rnacentral:tRNA from 1 species